rnacentral:lncRNA from 1 species
GGGCCUCUAGCCUGAGUCCACGGAUCCCUUACAGUUCUACUACACAUGUCAAGGUCUCCGGAUUUCCAUACUCACCUCUGCCUCCUCUCCCUGGCCCCCAAGGCCUCAAGAACCAAGUCAUCCUCCAAGACUCAAUUCAAGCAAUUGACCAGUGAAACUUCCCCUAGGGCACCCACGCUGAACCCUCGCCCACCUCCGGCCUCCAGUGUGCCCUUGUGGACACUUCUACUACAGCACCUACUGUACCGUGCUAUAACCACAUAGCUAUAUGCUGGGCUUCCCACCAGAAAAUGAACUCCUUCAGAGCAGGAACCUUGUUGGCUCUUAUCCAUCUGUGAAUCUCCAGAGCAGGCACAGUGCCCAGGCUCAGCACUGCCCGGGAUCUGCUCGCUCCAGAGAGAAAGCACAAAGACACCAAACAGGAUCCAGUAGCGAAUGAGACCACUGUGAACAGCCAGAAGGCUAGCAAUGGACAUUUCUGUCCCAACCUCACAGCAUCUUAUGUACUGUAUUGGCCAAGAAAGCAAGCUCAAAAGACAGAGACUGGAGUUCAAAUCUGACUCUGCCACUGUGUCACCACGAGAGAUGCUCAACCUACAUACUGGUCCUCAGUAAAGAGCCUUUACCAUUGUACCUGG